AGGACAUUACCGAGUUAUUCAACUCAUCAACCUCUGUGAACAUACCUAAACGUUGCUUGGGGGGCAGACGGCCCCGUGAAACGGGCCGCCCCCGCCAGAGGACCCCUAACUCUGUUUCUAUAAUGUUUCUUCUGAGUAAAACAAGCAAAUAAAUUAAAACUUUCAACAACGGAUCUCUUGGCUCUGGCAUCGAUGAAGAACGCAGCGAAAUGCGAUAAGUAAUGUGAAUUGCAGAAUUCAGUGAAUCAUCGAAUCUUUGAACGCACAUUGCGCCCGCCAGUAUUCUGGCGGGCAUGCCUGUUCGAGCGUCAUUACAACCCUCAGGCCCCCGGGCCUGGCGUUGGGGAUCGGCGGAGCCCCCCGUGGGCACACGCCGUCCCCCAAAUACAGUGGCGGUCCCGCCGCAGCUUCCAUCGCGUAGUAGCUAACACCUCGCGACUGGAGAGCGGCGCGGCCACGCCGUAAAACACCCAACUCUUCUGAAGUUGACCUCGAAUCAGGUAGGAAUACCCGCUGAACUUAAGCAUAUCAAUAAGCGGAGGA
rnacentral:sRNA from 1 species